rnacentral:rRNA from 1 species
ACUAAGCGUACACGGUGGAUGCCCUGGCAGUCAGAGGCGAUGAAGGACGUGCUAAUCUGCGAUAAGCGUCGGUAAGGUGAUAUGAACCGUUAUAACCGGCGAUUUCCGAAUGGGGAAACCCAGUGUGUUUCGACACACUAUCAUUAACUGAAUCCAUAGGUUAAUGAGGCGAACCGGGGGAACUGAAACAUCUAAGUACCCCGAGGAAAAGAAAUCAACCGAGAUUCCCCCAGUAGCGGCGAGCGAACGGGGAGCAGCCCAGAGCCUGAAUCAGUGUGUGUGUUAGUGGAAGCGUCUGGAAAGGCGCGCGAUACAGGGUGACAGCCCCGUACACAAAAAUGCACAUGCUGUGAGCUCGAUGAGUAGGGCGGGACACGUGGUAUCCUGUCUGAAUAUGGGGGGACCAUCCUCCAAGGCUAAAUACUCCUGACUGACCGAUAGUGAACCAGUACCGUGAGGGAAAGGCGAAAAGAACCCCGGCGAGGGGAGUGAAAAAGAACCUGAAACCGUGUACGUACAAGCAGUGGGAGCACAGAGCAAUCUGUGUGACUGCGUACCUUUUGUAUAAUGGGUCAGCGACUUAUAUUCUGUAGCAAGGUUAACCGAAUAGGGGAGCCGAAGGGAAACCGAGUCUUAACUGGGCGUUAAGUUGCAGGGUAUAGACCCGAAACCCGGUGAUCUAGCCAUGGGCAGGUUGAAGGUUGGGUAACACUAACUGGAGGACCGAACCGACUAAUGUUGAAAAAUUAGCGGAUGACUUGUGGCUGGGGGUGAAAGGCCAAUCAAACCGGGAGAUAGCUGGUUCUCCCCGAAAGCUAUUUAGGUAGCGCCUCGUGAAUUCAUCUCCGGGGGUAGAGCACUGUUUCGGCAAGGGGGUCAUCCCGACUUACCAACCCGAUGCAAACUGCGAAUACCGGAGAAUGUUAUCACGGGAGACACACGGCGGGUGCUAACGUCCGUCGUGAAGAGGGAAACAACCCAGACCGCCAGCUAAGGUCCCAAAGUCAUGGUUAAGUGGGAAACGAUGUGGGAAGGCCCAGACAGCCAGGAUGUUGGCUUAGAAGCAGCCAUCAUUUAAAGAAAGCGUAAUAGCUCACUGGUCGAGUCGGCCUGCGCGGAAGAUGUAACGGGGCUAAACCAUGCACCGAAGCUGCGGCAGCGACGCUGAUGCGUUGUUGGGUAGGGGAGCGUUCUGUAAGCCUGCGAAGGUGUGCUGUGAGGCAUGCUGGAGGUAUCAGAAGUGCGAAUGCUGACAUAAGUAACGAUAAAGCGGGUGAAAAGCCCGCUCGCCGGAAGACCAAGGGUUCCUGUCCAACGUUAAUCGGGGCAGGGUGAGUCGACCCCUAAGGCGAGGCCGAAAGGCGUAGUCGAUGGGAAACAGGUUAAUAUUCCUGUACUUGGUGUUACUGCGAAGGGGGGACGGAGAAGGCUAUGUUGGCCGGGCGACGGUUGUCCCGGUUUAAGCGUGUAGGCUGGUUUUCCAGGCAAAUCCGGAAAAUCAAGGCUGAGGCGUGAUGACGAGGCACUACGGUGCUGAAGCAACAAAUGCCCUGCUUCCAGGAAAAGCCUCUAAGCAUCAGGUAACAUCAAAUCGUACCCCAAACCGACACAGGUGGUCAGGUAGAGAAUACCAAGGCGCUUGAGAGAACUCGGGUGAAGGAACUAGGCAAAAUGGUGCCGUAACUUCGGGAGAAGGCACGCUGAUAUGUAGGUGAAGUCCCUCGCGGAUGGAGCUGAAAUCAGUCGAAGAUACCAGCUGGCUGCAACUGUUUAUUAAAAACACAGCACUGUGCAAACACGAAAGUGGACGUAUACGGUGUGACGCCUGCCCGGUGCCGGAAGGUUAAUUGAUGGGGUUAGCGCAAGCGAAGCUCUUGAUCGAAGCCCCGGUAAACGGCGGCCGUAACUAUAACGGUCCUAAGGUAGCGAAAUUCCUUGUCGGGUAAGUUCCGACCUGCACGAAUGGCGUAAUGAUGGCCAGGCUGUCUCCACCCGAGACUCAGUGAAAUUGAACUCGCUGUGAAGAUGCAGUGUACCCGCGGCAAGACGGAAAGACCCCGUGAACCUUUACUAUAGCUUGACACUGAACAUUGAGCCUUGAUGUGUAGGAUAGGUGGGAGGCUUUGAAGUGUGGACGCCAGUCUGCAUGGAGCCGACCUUGAAAUACCACCCUUUAAUGUUUGAUGUUCUAACGUGGACCCGUAAUCCGGGUUGCGGACAGUGUCUGGUGGGUAGUUUGACUGGGGCGGUCUCCUCCUAAAGAGUAACGGAGGAGCACGAAGGUUGGCUAAUCCUGGUCGGACAUCAGGAGGUUAGUGCAAUGGCAUAAGCCAGCUUGACUGCGAGCGUGACGGCGCGAGCAGGUGCGAAAGCAGGUCAUAGUGAUCCGGUGGUUCUGAAUGGAAGGGCCAUCGCUCAACGGAUAAAAGGUACUCCGGGGAUAACAGGCUGAUACCGCCCAAGAGUUCAUAUCGACGGCGGUGUUUGGCACCUCGAUGUCGGCUCAUCACAUCCUGGGGCUGAAGUAGGUCCCAAGGGUAUGGCUGUUCGCCAUUUAAAGUGGUACGCGAGCUGGGUUUAGAACGUCGUGAGACAGUUCGGUCCCUAUCUGCCGUGGGCGCUGGAGAACUGAGGGGGGCUGCUCCUAGUACGAGAGGACCGGAGUGGACGCAUCACUGGUGUUCGGGUUGUCAUGCCAAUGGCACUGCCCGGUAGCUAAAUGCGGAAGAGAUAAGUGCUGAAAGCAUCUAAGCACGAAACUUGCCCCGAGAUGAGUUCUCCCUGACUCCUUGAGAGUCCUGAAGGAACGUUGAAGACGACGACGUUGAUAGGCCGGGUGUGUAAGCGCAGCGAUGCGUUGAGCUAACCGGUACUAAUGAACCGUGAGGCUUAACC